GCUGGGCAUAGUGGCAUGUGCCUGUAACUCUAGCUGCUCAGGAAGGUGAGGCAAAAGAAUCACUUGAGCCCAGGAGCUUGAGAUAAGCCUGGUAAACAUAGAAAGAUUCUGCCUAC
rnacentral:sRNA from 1 species